GCAGGUGCUCUGCCUGGACUGUGUAUUGGAGAGCAAAGGAACUGAAUGCUACGCAUUGCGGAUUUGGAUACCAUGUCUGCUGAGCUCAGGUGUGCUCUGGUCAUGCUCUUUCGCAAGGAAAUGGCUUCAGGACCUGGGACCUAAGUCCCAGUAUGUCAGGAGCAAGGGAGCACCAGUGGUAGAAGAACCUGCCUCCCCUGGCUCCAUCAAAGGCCACAGGCCCAUGAGAAUCACCCGGCCUGCUCUGAGCAGCACACUCGGAGGCCACAGCCACGCACAGGAAAGUGAGAGGAAGUGGAAACGUGCGAGCAGAGGGCUCAAAGCGACGGGCUCACCACCGGAAAAAAAAAAUAAAAAUAAACACGCUCAGAAAUAGUGUAACUGAUAUGCAAAGAAGAUCAAAACAAGGGUUUUAAAAUAUCUUGGCUGCUUUAGAGGAGAUGGGGGUGGUAAUUAAAGCGAGGUUGCAAAUGCGUGUUAGGGGAGUGGGGCGGUUAGGUGGAUGGUUCACUGAAGCCUGCCAGGACAUGGGAGCCUGGGAGCCCAAGGGUAUUUCAGAUGAAAAUGUGGCACUUAUAUGUGGAAUGUAAAAGAAAGUUGAACUCAUAGAAGCAGAGAAUAAAAUGGUUAUUCUCAGAGGCUGCCAGGUGGUGGGACUGGGGAGAUGUUGGUCAAAGGACACAUUUUAAUAAAUUCAAGAGAUUCAUUGCCCAUCACGGUGACUAUAGUUAACAUCAAUACAUUUUAUAUUG
rnacentral:lncRNA from 10 species